ensembl:lncRNA
GGAAGGAAGAUGGAAGCAUUGCUCCAUUUCAGAGAGAUGUGGGGGGGGGGGGUGUAAACAUUCUUUCCCCUCUUCCAUUAUGAAGUGUUUUUCUCGCUGCAGACCAUAGAGAAUGACAACAAACAACAUUCUAGCCAUGUAAUAUGCCCUGUAUUAUAGCUUCAGCCAAAGCUCUUUAACUGAACGAGCAAGUGUUAUUGAUUUCAUAAACAUGGAGGUUGCGCCCUUUACCUCCGGGCCAGAUCCGUUAGUGGAGUCUGGAAGCUCCAGGGAGAUGUUGUGAUAUGUAAACAUCAGUUUGUGGUUGGCUGUACCAGGGUACUCUAGAAUGUUUCCAAGAUGCUGAGGGCUGGAAAGAGAGGGCAGAAACAUCCAAAGCUUGUGCUUCUCAAAAGCAGAAAAAGAGAAGUAAUAAAUGCACUCUGUGAAUGAGUUACCAUGGAGAAGCUAUUCCAGCCAAAGAAGAAUCCACUAGAGAAAAAGCAACAUACAACUUGUCAGCAAAAAUGCCUGGUCCCUCCUUUUUGGUCUCUUUAUUGAGAAUAUCCAGGGAAGAAGAUAUUAAGCACAGUCUGAGAGAUGGAAGGGAGCUCAGAAAUCAUCUCAUUG